GCCAGGCUGCAGCCUGAGAAACAGAAUGGAAAUGCUGACAGGUUGUCUAGACAGACCGAACUGGAAAAAUUAUCCGUGAGCAUCCGCGGACAUCCCCAAGCAGAUACGUGGAGGAUCAGACUGUGUAUGCCAACUUGUGGUCACAAGGGAGCAGUGUAGCAGAAUGAACCUUGGACUGUUAACCUUAUUCCUGCUGUGGGGUGUCCGUAUCUUGCCCCCCCUGUUAUUUCUAUGUUUC